GCAAUCUACCUUUUGCAGAGGGAUAGCCCAGAGAAAUUUGGAUUAAUACCUCAUAGUAUAGCACAACCGCAUGGUUGAGUUAUUAAAGUCACAACGGCAAAAGAUGAGCAUGCGUCCCAUUAGCUAGUUGGUAAGGUAACGGCUUACCAAGGCAACGAUGGGUAGGGGUCCUGAGAGGGAGAUCCCCCACACUGGUACUGAGACACGGACCAGACUCCUACGGGAGGCAGCAGUGAGGAAUAUUGGUCAAUGGGCGCAAGCCUGAACCAGCCAUGCCGCGUGCAGGAUGACGGUCCUAUGGAUUGUAAACUGCUUUUGUACGAGAAGAAACACUACUUCGUGAAGUAGCUUGACGGUAUCGUAAGAAUAAGGAUCGGCUAACUCCGUGCCAGCAGCCGCGGUAAUACGGAGGAUCCAAGCGUUAUCCGGAAUCAUUGGGUUUAAAGGGUCCGUAGGCGGUCUUAUAAGUCAGUGGUGAAAUCUCCCCGCUCAACGGGGAAACUGCCAUUGAUACUGUAGGACUUGAAUUAUUAGGAAGUAACUAGAAUAUGUAGUGUAGCGGUGAAAUGCUUAGAGAUUACAUGGAAUACCAAUUGCGAAGGCAGGUUACUACUAAUUGAUUGACGCUGAUGGACGAAAGCGUGGGUAGCGAACAGGAUUAGAUACCCUGGUAGUCCACGCCGUAAACGAUGAAUACUCGAUGUUAGCGAUAUACCGUUAGCGUCUAAGCGAAAGCGUUAAGUAUUCCACCUGGGGAGUACGCCCGCAAGGGUGAAACUCAAAGGAAUUGACGGGGGCCCGCACAAGCGGAGGAGCAUGUGGUUUAAUUCGAUG
rnacentral:rRNA from 1 species